rnacentral:rRNA from 1 species
CAGUCGCCGCGGUAAUACGUAGGUAGCAAGCGUUGUCCGGAAUUAUUGGGCGUAAAGCGCGCGCAGGUGGUUUAAUAAGUCUGAUGUGAAAGCCCACGGCUCAACCGUGGAGGGUCAUUGGAAACUGUUAAACUUGAGUGCAGGAGAGAAAAGUGGAAUUCCUAGUGUAGCGGUGAAAUGCGUAGAGAUUAGGAGGAACACCAGUGGCGAAGGCGGCUUUUUGGCCUGUAACUGACACUGAGGCGCGAAAGCGUGGGGAGCAUACAGGAUUAGAUACCCGCGUAGUCCCUGUCUCUUAUAC